rnacentral:rRNA from 1 species
CUAGCCGUAAACGAUGGAUACUAGGCGUUGAGAGGAUCGACCCUCGCAGUGCCGUAGCUAACGCGUUAAGUAUCCCGCCUGGGGAGUACGCGCGCAAGCGUGAAACUCAAAGGAAUUGACGGGGGCCCGCACAAGCGGUGGAGUAUGUGGUUUAAUUCGAUGCAACGCGAAGAACCUUACCAGGGCUUGACAUGUCCGGAACCCUGCCCAAAGGUGGGGGUGCCUACGGGUGCCGGAACACAGGUGGUGC